CCGUACCACUUCGUCGACAAAACAACAAUUUUUCGAAAAGGAUCCAGUGGAAUUAGCGACCGUCGGUAGAGGGAGAUACGACUAUACCACGCAUCUGUAUCGAGUGUACUGACUCAACCCUAAGGUGGCGACACCCAGUACGGGCAGGUUGUGCCUGUACCAAGCGUCGAAUCACGACUUAAGCACAUGAAGAGGUAAACCUGAACCCAAAAUUUUCAUAUUCUCUCUCUUUCUCCUCCUGACUCCAAACCAACUCCAUUGGAUCUUCAAAACUGUUCGUUUUUUAUUCGAUUUCUUGCACUCCAUAGAACCAUGGAGCGUUUCUCCUCCGAUCCCCAACUUAUUUUCAGCAAAGCCAUGUUCUAGCUCUUGCCAUUAUCAACCUAGACUUAGGUCUUAUUAUGAAUUCCAUCAGCUUAAUGAGCAUGUUAGAUUUCGAAAUUUGAGGAGAUUAUUUUAUAGGAUGUGUAGAGGAUGAUCAUAAGUCUAUUUCUAUUGGAUCGGAAUUUUUAUUUUGUUAAAGGUUUAAUUUGUGUUUAAAUAUACUUAACUAUUUGUUACUUUUUGGAUGAACAUGACGAGCCACACACGCGUCGUGGCUGCACAAGCCGCCCAACCGGUUCAGAAUACCCAUGCUACAUUUGGCAUCGAGUUUGAUGAUCAACGCCAACUCAACCAUUUCAACCGCCUCAAGAACUGCAAGAUCAAGUCAAAAAAUGGUAUGCGCCCAUAUUCUGAACAAACUAGGCCUACGCCAUGAUUUCAAUACCCUUUGCAACAAUAUUGGUUUGCUUCACUUUGUUUUUCAGGAGGCUGCCACCUAUCGCCGCUUGACACUCGAGUUCCUUAGCACUUUGAAGCAUACGGUGUGAAGGUAUCACACCCCAGAGGAAAAUCAACCCGUAGUCGACUAGAUAUCCUUCCAUUUGAUGAAAUGUGAGUAUGAACUAACUCUAGAUGAGUGGUGCCACUUGUUUGACUUUGACAACAGCACCUUCGCCAACUGUUUCGCUUGAUUUACUUUAAAUCCUUCUCCUCUCAAUUAUUUUAGUAGGAUGAAAGUAUCUGACACACUCCCUCGGUGGAAUAAUAUUGAGUGACAUGCUAUUUUCUAUUUGUGUUAUUGCUAACACCUUGCUGGCACGUGGUAAUUUCACAAGAAUCAAUGAAGAGGACAUGAUGAUCCUCGCAAAGGCUGUGUUUUCAAAUAGCAACGUCCGUCCAAACUUUGGCGCCCUUCUCAUCAUUUACCUGAACCACCAAGCACUUGAAGCUCGGGGGCCCGUAUGCGGAUCGAGGAGUAUUCAUCACCGUCCUAGCACGAGGACUUAACGUCAAUGUGAGUAAUGUACAAGCAUUGGAAGGACCUCACCGUCUUGGUUUUACUACUCUAAAUGCAUGUGGUAUGGUUAGAAAAAUAAAUGGUGGAUUUUACUUCAGUAUACCAAGAGCUGAUCACUUGAUCGCUGCCCCUUUGCCUAAAGGUCUAUUCUCUAUCGAGGAUGGGCAUUUGCAUUAUGAUGCGUAGGUUGAGGCAAAUCUACCACAACAAAAAUAACCCGAAGGAGAAGAAGAAGUUGAAGAAGAACAUGCAGGACCUGAACUAGAGCAGCAGCCACUUCAUGACUUCACCACCUAUCAGGACAUGUGCACGCUUGAAGGAAGCAUUGAGAACAUGAGCAACCUCGUCAUCAACCUUCGAGACUCCACCAAAAAUCUCGCUUCCCAAUUCACUCAUUGUAGCAGCCAAUGGAACUUUGGGAACUAUCCGGCACCACCACAAUGAGCUCAACAAAAGGGCUUGCAAAAGACUAAGCUUCGGGAUGUGUUCCCCAAGCAUAUUUAUUUAAAUAAGUUUGUAUUCCAGCACUUUGAAAGAUCUUUGAAACACUCUUGUUGGUUUGUUCCAACACUUCUCUUUUUUUUGGAUUUUUGUUUGUUUUUUCCUAUUAUUUGUUUUUAGUUCCUUACUUUGUCGCCAAUCUCUUUCUUUUUCCCUCUCAACCCCAAAUUCACAAAAAUACAAAAAUAUUUUUCCUUUUAUCCUUGUUCAUGAAAAAGAGGAUUUACAUUUGCCUCUUUUCUUUGAUAUUUCUGAUGAGAGUGAUCUACUAAGAGCUUUUGAAGGAACACAUCAUAAGGAAGAGAAAUGUGAAGUCAUCUAUAAGAGGAAAUCACAUCAUAACGACAAAUGGGCUUGUAAUAACUGAAGAAAAUCUCGUCACAAGUACAACAAAAUUGACCAGGCAUCGAACGGCGGUUCUAGGGAGUUUAGCAGAAAUCGGUACGAGCAAGCCCCGCCGGUAUCGUCCGCCCGUAUGGGGUGCCACAGCCUUCCCAAGGUCAAACCCUAUAAGUUAUGUAAAGGGACCGGCACAAAAAAAGAGUCAUUCGUCGCCAAACAGAGCCACCAUCCAUCAGAUCCAUCUACACCACACCGAAGUAGAUCCACCACCAUAGUUCAUCUAUUUCAUCUCCCAUCUCCUCCAUAGCCAUAGCGAUCACCAUGGUAAUAGAGAUCUCUUUGAGAAUUGACGGCCAUUGUAAGAAUAUUGUGAUUUCAAUUCAAGAAUUUGCAACAAUGAUUUCUAUCUUUGAUCUUGA